GCAGAGGUUUCAACACCAAAAAGGCCAAAGCGGGAGGACACGCAGCGUGGAGCAGAGGAGAAGAAGGGAGCCGGGGAAUCCCUCUGCAUGACCCUGACUGAUGCAAAGGCUUGUGAAACUGAAUGACCGUGCCCUGCAGGAUAAUCCCACCCUACCUGUCGCCACCACACCUGAACUUUCCCCUGACCCGUGUCGAGUUGAGUGGCAAGACAGACAUCCAAGCAUCGACUUUGGUAGCAUUUAAAAACUCCUCUUUAAUUUCUUAAUUCAACAAACAUUCUAGCUCAUUGCCAUUUCCUGAGACUCUUUAAUUGAUCACGUUUUUUU